rnacentral:lncRNA from 1 species
UGCACACAGUGCAGCAUGCUAUCGGCUCCCUGCAGCUGUUUAUCAGGGUCUCUUUCAUUCUCGGUGGAGACAUCACGUUCUUUUGGCUACUAGUUAUGGUUUUAUAUGUAAGACAAAAUAAACACUUCCUGUAGGGCUUCAGAAGCCAACUUCAUUUAUGUCUUAUCUUUCAUUUUCCUUCAACCCAAAGAGGAAGAAACAAGAUUAGAGGAGACUUCCAUUUAUCCGGUUGUCCUGCAGUCAGAAAAAAGAAAACCAACAGAGAGACACCAAAAAGAAGAAGAGGAGAAGGAGGAGAAAGAGGAGGAGGAGGAGGAAGAAGAGGAGGAGGAGGAGGAAAGGAAGAAAGAAAGGAAGGAAGGAAGAAAGAAAGAAAGAAAGAAAGAAAGAAAGAAAGAAAGAAAAGAAAUAACAGGCCAUAAACAAGUUUAUUUUCUUAGUUCCUGCCAAGCCUUUCUGUUGGCUUUCCCUGUGUGAGCACGUCUUCCCCUGUCUCCUCUUGCAUGUUGAUCCUAACCUAUUGGAUUACCGAUGAUUAAAGAAAUGAGAGGAAAGUCUUCUCUGUACCAUCCGGCCUAAGUCCUAGAACUCCUGUAUAUGCUCAGACUGAGGAGGAACUAGACGUGACUCCUUAUCCAAUCUGCGGUGUGGCGCAAAAGACCUGUCUUGUUAAAGGGAAGACUGGGACAAGGUGGCUUUGGAAGGGCAGAAGGUUAAUUAGGUUGCCAGGGA